UGGGGAAUAUUGGGCAAUGGGGGAAACCCUGACCCAGCAACGCCGCGUGAAGGAUGAAGUAUUUCGGUAUGUAAACUUCGAAAGAAUAGGAAGAAUAAAUGACGGUACUAUUUAUAAGGUCCGGCUAACUACGUGCCAGCAGCCGCGGUAAUACGUAGGGACCAAGCGUUGUUCGGAUUUACUGGGCGUAAAGGGCGCGUAGGCGGCAAUUCAAGUCAUCUGUGAAAUCUCCGGGCUUAACUCGGAACGGUCAGAUGAUACUGCUUUGCUAGAGUGCAGAAGGGGCAAUCGGAAUUCUUGGUGUAGCGGUGAAAUGCGUAGAUAUCAAGAGGAACACCUGAGGUGAAGACGGGUUGCUGGGCUGACACUGACGCUGAGGCGCGAAAGCCAGGGGAGCAAACGGGAUUAGAUACCCAGGUAGUCCCUGAGCGGGCUGGCAAGGCGCAU
rnacentral:rRNA from 1 species